GACGAACGCUGGCGGCGUGCCUAAUACAUGCAAGUAGAACGCUGAAGGAGGAUCUUGCUUCUCUGGAUGAGUUGCGAACGGGUGAGUAACGCGUAGGUAACCUGCCUGGUAGCGGGGGAUAACUAUUGGAAACGAUAGCUAAUACCGCAUAAGAGUAGAUGUCGCAUGACAUUUGCUUAAAAGGUGCAAUUGCAUCACUACCAGAUGGACCUGCGUUGUAUUAGCUAGUUGGUGAGGUAACGGCUCACCAAGGCAACGAUACAUAGCCGACCUGAGAGGGUGAUCGGCCACACUGGGACUGAGACACGGCCCAGACUCCUACGGGAGGCAGCAGUAGGGAAUCUUCGGCAAUGGACGGAAGUCUGACCGAGCAACGCCGCGUGAGUGAAGAAGGUUUUCGGAUCGUAAAGCUCUGUUGUAAGAGAAGAACGAGUGUGAGAGUGGAAAGUUCACACUGUGACGGUAUCUUACCAGAAAGGGACGGCUAACUACGUG
rnacentral:rRNA from 1 species